rnacentral:rRNA from 1 species
UACGUAGGUGGCAAGCGUUGUCCGGAAUUAUUGGGCGUAAAGCGCGCGCAGGCGGUCCUUUAAGUCUGAUGUGAAAGCCCACGGCUCAACCGUGGAGGGUCAUUGGAAACUGGGGGACUUGAGUACAGAAGAGAAGAGUGGAAUUCCACGUGUAGCGGUGAAAUGCGUAGAGAUGUGGAGGAACACCAGUGGCGAAGGCGGUUGCCUGGAGCUUUGCUGACGCUGAGGCGCGAAAGCGUGGGGAGCGAUCCGG